UACGUAGGGUGCAAGCGUUGUCCGGAAUUAUUGGGCGUAAAGAGCUUGUAGGCGGUUUGUCGCGUCCGCUGUGAAAUUUCGGGGCUCAACCCCGAACUUGCAGUGGGUACGGGCAGACUAGAGUGUGGUAGGGGAGACUGGAAUUCCUGGUGUAGCGGUGAAAUGCGCAGAUAUCAGGAGGAACACCGAUGGCGAAGGCAGGUCUCUGGGCCACUACUGACGCUGAGAAGCGAAAGCAUGGGGAGCGAACAGG
rnacentral:rRNA from 1 species